GAACCUUGGAGCCACAGCCAGGUCCAGCAGCACUCCAACCAACGGUCAUAGAACCUUGGAGCCACAGCCAGGGCCAGCAGCACUCCAACCAACGGCCAGAGAACCUUGGAGCCACAGCCAGGGCCAGCAGCACUCCAACCAACGGUCAUAGAACCUUGGAGCCACAGCCAGGGCCAGCAGCACUCCAACCAACGGUCAUAGAACCUUGGAGCCACAGCCAGGGCCAGCAGCACUCCAACCAACGGUCAUAGAACCUUGGAGCCACAGCCAGGGCCAGCAGCACUCCAACCAACGGUCAUAGAACCUUGGAGCCACAGCCAGGGCCAGCAGCACUCCAACCAACGGCCAGAGAACCUUGGAGCCACAGCCU